UACGGGUGGGGCAAGCGUUGUUCGGAAUUACUGGGCGUAAAGGGCGCGUAGGCGGCCCUCUAAGUCAGACGUGAAAUCCCUCGGCUCAACCGGGGAACUGCGUCUGAUACUGGAGGGCUUGAAUCCGGGAGAGGGAUGUGGAAUUCCAGGUGUAGCGGUGAAAUGCGUAGAUAUCUGGAGGAACACCGGUGGCGAAGGCGGCAUCCUGGACCGGUAUUGACGCUGAGGCGCGAAAGCUAGGGGAGCAAACGGG
rnacentral:rRNA from 1 species